ensembl:snRNA U6 U6 spliceosomal RNA
AUGCUCACUUUAGCAGCAUAUAUAGUAAAAUAGGAACUAUCAGGAAAAAAUUAGCAUGGCCCCUACAACGACAUGCAAAUUCAUUAAGCAUUUCACAUUUUA